rnacentral:rRNA from 1 species
GACGAACGCUGGCGGCGUGCUUAACACAUGCAAGUCGAACGGAAAGGCCCUGCUUUUGUGGGGUGCUCGAGUGGCGAACGGGUGAGUAACACGUGAGUAACCUGCCCUUGACUUUGGGAGAACUUCAGGAAACUGGGGCUAAUACCGGAUAGGAGCUCCUGCUGCAUGGUGGGGGUUGGAAAGUUUCGGCGGUUGGGGAUGGACUCGCGGCUUAUCAGCUUGUUGGUGGGGGGGUGGCUUACCCAGGCUUUGACGGGUAGCCGGCCUGAGAGGGUGACCGGCCACAUUGGGACUGAGAUACGGCCCAGACUCCUACGGGAGGCAGCAGUGGGGAAUAUUGCGCAAUGGGCGGAAGCCUGAUGCAGCAACGCCGCGUGCGGGAUGACGGCCUUCGGGUUGUAAACCGCUUUCGCCUGUGACGAAGCGUGAGUGACGGUAAUGGGUAAAGAAGCACCGGCUAACUACGUG